CAGAAAGCUGGAGAUCAUGAAAGAGUUCUAUUUAUAAAGCCAUAAAGAUGAUGGUUUACAAAGUUCUUCAAUCAAAUCAAAACUUCCACAGGAACGUGCCUCAAGAGAGAUAAUCAUAACAUUCAGUUUUCAGGCUUCUGCAGAUACACCACUGAAGAAAUGAUGAAGGGUGGUGAUCAACGCUAACACGUGUCACAAGUUAUAUACAGCCUGAUUAAAUGACUCCUUGCGGCCAACUGGUCUUAGUGUCUGAUGCAUGCACUAGAGCUCAUCCUGAACUCAUCAUCAUCUCUUUUUCAGCAGGAACAUACUGGAAGUUAUCACUGCAAUGACAGAUGGGACCAAGUGGCAAGGAUGAUGGAAAUAAGAAGCUCUGGGAGACUGAAGACACAGAAAUGCUCCGCACAGCAGACAUUCAGUCUUUGAACUCUUACACACAGAAGCACAGUUUGGGUUUAAAGUACACAGAACCUACUUCUGGCAGAAAAACAAAUCACAUUGGCCAGAAGCAAGAUCAUUCUUCAUUGGAAGAAUGGUGAUAUUAAUUUUUGAAACAGACAAAGGGAACUAGCUGUCCUGUCAGCAAAGGAAUUUGACCAUUUCCUCUGAUAGCAGAUGGAUUGUUGAAAUGCCUCUGUGUACCAGCCUCCAUUGUCUGUUUAGGAGUCAAACUUUCAGACCAGUUACUGACUCUGCUUGGUGUCAUCAAGGCCAUUCCUGAAAAACCCUGGGUGUACUUCCACACCAAGCACAACGGAAGACCUUUCCCAGAAGAUGCACUGGACCCAGUCACCACAUUUCAGGACAGAGGGUCUCAUAGUGCAGAGGAGUUGGCACUGUAUGUUGUCUCCUGAGUAUGCUUGUCAAAUACCAGCACUGCUGCUGAACAGAAAGUUCUGGCUACUCCUGGUAAUAUCCCCUAAAGGCAAACAACAGUGGCUUAAGCUGCAGGAGUCAAGGCUGACAACACAGAGAUGGUGUAACUCUUCAAAAUGCAUCUUACAUGGUUCCACCUGGAGCAUUCUCCUCUCAGUAACAUCUGCUGCACUCCCAAAUGGAUCCCCAUGUGCAGAGUGUGCAUCCACCUAGGAGAACAUAAGGCACUGGUGACUGGCAGAAUUCCUGCAGGCUCAAACACUGAAAAUUACUUCACAAGACGCGUAAUAUGAAGAAAGUAAAUUUCAGCACAUUGAAGUUUUGGUCUCUGCAACUUCUCUUUGGAAAUGUAGCCCAAUUAGGAUAUGGUAAAAUUCCCUUUUUAUGUCUGCCUCAUUUUGUUGGAGAAUCUUGAAUGGUUUUAAAGGGCAUUCCUCAGCCUGAAAAGUCCUUUUCACCUAUUCUCUCGGCUUUAUAAUUACUAUCUCUCCCAUUCUUAUAUGACAGGACUCCAAACAAUACUGCUGUCACUGGAGAGAAUAAGAAAUUCUGAGGUCUGGUGGCAGCUUUCAUUAGGAGGAAGAAAGCCAGAGCAUCUCACCAUGGGAAGCAUUUCUAGACUGGUGGCCACAGCUGAUUCCCCAGAAAAUCACCUUUAGAUACCCAGCAGUAUCUGGUUGGUGCUAGAAAAGGCAUUUCUAGGCACAUGUCUUUCUCACAGCCCAAUAACUACACAAACCAACACAGACUUACAAGUGACCCUUAGGUCAGGAGCAGAUCUCUGAAGACUUUCUUGGUAAGGAAUGAAAUGAAGUGAAACACUGGCAGGGUACAUCCCUAGACAGCAGGGAUGUUUCCUUCUGUUUUCACCACUUCACCUAUUGCAUGCUGAAUAUCUUUCGUCCUUUCACUCCUCUCUCAUUCAACAAACCUAGAUUCUUGUUCAGUUUUGUAUUUCCAGAAAAAUAAAAAGACUUGACACCAACAAAUUGCUUCAAUUUUUAAGCAACUUUCCACAGCAUAGCAGCUGCUUGGAAAGACAAAUGGCAUCACUUUGAAUGUCCUCCCCUUCUCCCCCCAGCUUUAUAUGCUGAUGCCAUAUGGUGUGGGAUAUCUCUUUGAGGUCAGCUGUCCUGGUUGUGUCCUCUCCCAGCUUCUUGAGCAUCCCUAGCCUGUUUUCUGGUUGGGAUGGGAAGCAAAAAGGCCUUCAUGUUGUAAGCACUGCUCAGCAAUAAUGAAAAUAUCCUUGUGUUAUCAACACUGUUUUCAGCAUAAAAAAUCCAACACACAGCCUCAUGCCAGCUACUAUGAAGAAAAUUUACUCUAUCCUAGCCACAACCAGCACAGACAAGUGAAAGAAUAAUUAUAUUAUCACCUUUCUUCAGACACAUUUAAAAAUUUCCUCCUAAAACAAAAGACAUUGAGACUAUUUUAUGAAAGUAAAGGAAGUCAAAUUAACCUAACCACAAAACAUUUCAAUGCUUCCAUUUUCAUGAAUUUAGGCAUAUGAUAGCUGUUAUUUUAAGUUAUUUCUAUUUUAAUGUGGCACAUCACCAUCAGAGUUGACACUCUAGGGAAAAAAUCUCUAAUAUUCUAGUUUUUAAAAACCAAGCUGUUGUAUGCUUAACAUUCAUUGGUUUUAAAGCAAUCUACAGGUGUUAAAAAUGUCAUUGAAAGGGAGUUAGUCACUACAGAAUCUGUCUCUUAUGGAAGCAGUAAAGGAGAAAAGUGGCAGUUAAGGGAGAAGAGGAACAUUGAAUGUGAACAUUUCAUCAAGAAAUACAUACAUAAUUGUGCUGCAUAAAAUUCAGAGUAGAUGCAGAAUAACACUAAUUUUCAUGUUAGGUACUGUGAAAAUCUCAGUGUGAUUAAUAAAAGAGAGUGAUAGAAAAGGAGAAUAAAAUUGCUUGGCAGCUUCAUGUGUAGGAAGGAGAUUCUUUUUCAUAUAUUGUAUUUUUAAAAAUCUUAACUUUAAACACCAUAGAAAGGAAAUGGAGAAAGAUGAUAAUAUAAGCAGUUGCCUCAAUGAAAAUAAGGUUUUUAAGAAAGAGCACCAAGUUUGAGUCAUCUGAAUUUUGAGCCUUUGAAAGCUACACUUUGCAGCAAUUUUCACACCAGUAAUUUUAACAAUUGCACAUUAGCAUUUUGAAAGAAUGGGAAAUAUAAAUGAGGCACAUACAAUGAGGUGAUUGAGACGUCUGAAGGUGAGAAGCAGCAGGGCUCAUUCCAGGAUUAACCUCAGCAGGCAGUAAACUGCAGAAGACCUCUGCCUGAUACUCGCUUCUAGGGGCUCCUGCAGACCAGGUAAUGUCUUUGUGCUCACGGCUGUGCUGCCCCUGGACACUCUGCAGCAAACAGGUAGGGCUCGUUCUUCCUCUGAGAGCUUUAGAGCAGGAGGCAUGCCUGCCAGUCCUCUUCCUUGCCACACAGGCCACCCUUGGGUGGCCAUUGGAUGGCACUGUCUCACUUGACAUGCCUUUGGGUGGCACUGUAUCACCACCUUGCAGAUGUUUUUGGGACUACGGAUUGGCACACCUACCCAAAAGACAGUCCUUCUGUCUCCAGCAAUAGCGUUUUCUGCACCAGAAUAUUUUGGAAUAUUGUUGUAAUAUUUUCCCCAAUAAUAAUUAAGACCAAAAUUCAGAUUAAUUUCUACUAAAUUUACCACUCUCACUUUCUUUUUAAGAAUUAAAAUCCAUCAGUCUUGACAUUCCUCCCAGGUUGGAGAGCACUUUGAAAGGUCUGGAUGAGAAG